rnacentral:RNase_P_RNA from 1 species
GGAGCGGCCGGGGUGACCGCCGGCGAUCCGCGGAUCGCGGGAGGAAAGUCCGGGCAUCGCGGACCAGGUGCCUGCUAACGGCAGGCGGGGGCGACCCUAGGGAAAGUGCCACAGAAAUGACACGGCCGAUGGCCCCGCUCCGCGGGGCACAGGCAAAGGUGAAAUGGUGCGGUAAGAGCGCACCCACGACAGCCGGGGAACCGGCGGUGCGGUAAACCCCACCCGAUGCAAGGCCGAGCGAACGCGUUUGAGGGAGGUCCGCCCGAGCGUUCAAUGAGCCGCUGGAGGCGGCGGGCAACCGCCGUCGUAGACGAAUGGUCACUGCCUUGGCCGCCCGUCGGCGGGAACGGGCGCCAAGCGUACAGAACCCGGCUUACAAGGCCGCUCCGGUU